rnacentral:rRNA from 1 species
UCCGUAGGUGAACCUGCGGAAGGAUCAUUAGUGAAUUGCUCUUUGAGCGUUAACUACAUCCAUCUACACCUGUGAACUGUUGAUUGACUCCGGUCAAUUACUUUACAAACAUUGUGUAAUGAACGUCAUGUUAUUAUAACAAAAAUAACUUUCAACAACGGAUCUCUUGGCUCUCGCAUCGAUGAAGAACGCAGCGAAAUGCGAUAAGUAAUGUGAAUUGCAGAAUUCAGUGAAUCAUCGAAUCUUUGAACGCAACUUGCGCUCUCUGGUAUUCCGGAGAGCAUGCCUGUUUGAGUAUCAUGAAAUCUCAACCAUUAGGGUUUCUUAAUGGCUUGGAUUUGGGCGCUGCCACUUGCCUGGCUCGCCUUAAAAGAGUUAGCGUGUUUAACUUGUCGAUCUGGCGUAAUAAGUUUCGCUGGUGUAGACUUGAGAAGUGCGCUUCUAAUCGUCUUCGGACAAUUCUUGAACUCUGGUCUCAAAUCAGGUAGGACUACCCGCUGAACUUAAGCAUAUCAAUAAGCGGAGGA